rnacentral:rRNA from 1 species
CGAACGGGUGAGUAACGCGUGAGGAACCUGCCUCAAAGAGGGGGACAACAGUUGGAAACGACUGCUAAUACCGCAUAAGCCCACGGCUCGGCAUCGAGCAGAGGGAAAAGGAGUGAUCCGCUUUGAGAUGGCCUCGCGUCCGAUUAGCUGGUUGGUGAGGUAACGGCCCACCAAGGCGACGAUCGGUAGCCGGACUGAGUGGUUGAACGGCCACAUUGGGACUGAGACACGGCCCAG